GUGCCAGCCGCCGCGGUAAUACGUAGGUCCCGAGCGUUAUCCGGAUUUAUUGGGCGUAAAGCGAGCGCAGGCCGGUUAGAUAAGUCUGAAGUUAAAGGCUGUGGCUUAACCAUAGUACGCUUUGGAAACUGUUUAACUUGAGUGCAGAAGGGGAGAGUGGAAUUCCAUGUGUAGCGGUGAAACGCGUAGAUAUAUGGAGGAACACCGGUGGCGAAAGCGGCUCUCUGGUCUGUAACUGACGCUGAGGCUCGAAAGCGUGGGGAGCAAACAGGAUUAG
rnacentral:rRNA from 1 species